rnacentral:tRNA from 1 species
GGGACUGUGGCUCAGUGGUAGAGAAUUUGCUUGGUAUGCAGAAGGUCCCGGGUUCAAUCCCAAGAGACUCCA